CACUCUUACAGAGAUGGAUUGAUUUAGCUGCUGCUGGAGUCCUGAAAUAGUGGGAUAAUACCUUGGGAACUAUGACGUCUACAUGGGUGACCUGAUGGUGGCCACAGAGAACUGAAGAUUGCUCUGGGUCACUGGAUUAUGUUGAAUAGCAGAAAGAAUAGCUUGCUUGGUAGAGGGAAGCUGGGGAUGGAAAGGUAUCCCAUGUUGAUCAGCCGAGUUUGAGGAGAGACUGAACUGAUCUCUGCUGCAUGACAUUCCCUUCACUCGAAAAGAUGCCAACUCAGCUGACAAGUAUUGUGACUGUAAUGAGUAAACAUUAACUAUUUCACAUCUUAACAAAGCACACAAGGAAAUCAAAGGACCAGAGGGCCUGCAGAAACACUUCCCAGAAUACAGAGCGAGCUUGGCUGCUGCUGUGCAUAAAAUGAAUGUAUUUAAGCCUACCUACAGUUAAACUGCAAGGAAGUCAGAGGAAGGGCACCAAAUGAAGUAAUUUUUAUGAAAAGAUUAAGGGACUUUGAGAGAUCAAGAUGCUGAGAACAGUUUGUCUCAAAGUAUGACAAGGGAAAAGAAUGCUAAGGGAUACAGAGACAGAUGGAUGAAAGCUGAAACAGAUGUUAUCCACUCACAAUGCCAUCCUGAUAACCCUGAGCUAAAGGCUGAAAUCCUUAGCAGAUUAGCAGCUGAAAUAAAAAAUGGAUCAGUAAAGUGGGGAGUACAGCUGAACAAAUUCUUAUAGGUUUUAUUUCUGCGGAUAACAAUGCACAGAGGCUAUAUAAUCUCCGUGCUGAUCUGCCAGAGGAAAGAUUAAAUGGCAAAAUUCCAGCACUGAAACCUGCAAGUCUCCUCUGCUCUACUCCCUCGGUGUGAUAGCAAAUUUUUAGCAGAAUGUCACUGUGUACACUCUAUUAUGUUGUUAAAACUGUGGGGUUUUCAGCUCAUUUUCCUCUUAUUGAAACAAAAUAAGAUUUUAUUAUACAUUCCUCUGAGCUUAUGGUAUUUCUGUCAUUGAAAGUAUUUGCAGCCACUUUGUGGUUCAUCUGGUACUGAGCAGGUUAGGAAAAAUGCUUGAAUUUUCACUGAAGUGAAACUCUGAGUGGCUUUUAUCAAACAAGAAGAAACACUUUUUAGUGGCUUUGGAACAUUUUUUUCAUAUUUCUUGAUUCAAUCCUUGGAAGUAUGUUGGAGAAAUUAACCUGGCAUAGCUUUGUCAGGGAAAAAUAUAUUCUCCCUCCUUUAUUCUUUUACCUUAGAGAGCUACAAUAUGUCAAAGAGCUGUGCUGUAUUAAUCUAUAGACAAGGCAAACCAAUUCAGCUGAGAACAUGCUAUUGGAAACUAGGGGAAAGGAGGAGAUCUGCAAUAUCAGUACUCUGAACAGCAGAGAACUGGCUAGAAAUCUACCAGCUAUAGAGCUCAACAUGACCUAAGCCACC